rnacentral:rRNA from 1 species
UACGCAGGGGGCGAGCGUUGUUCGGAUUUACUGGGCGUAAAGGGCGCGCAGGCGGCUCAUUUUGUCAGGCGUGAAAGCCCCGGGCUUAACCUGGGAGGUGCGUUUGAUACGGAUGGGCUAGAGUUCGGGAGAGGAGAGUGGAAUUCCCAGUGUAGAGGUGAAAUUCGUAGAUAUUGGGAAGAACACCGGUGGCGAAGGCGGCUCUCUGGACCGAGACUGACGCUGAGGCGCGAAAGCGUGGGGAGCAAACAGG